rnacentral:rRNA from 1 species
UACGUAGGGGGCGAGCGUUGUCCGGAUUUAUUGGGCGUAAAGAGCGUGUAGGCGGCCAGGUAGGUCCGUUGUGAAAACUCGAGGCUCAACCUCGAGAGGUCGGUUGAAACCGUAAGGCUAGAGUCCGGAAGAGGAGAGUGGAAUUCCCGGGUGUAGCGGUGAAAUGCGCAGAUAUCGGGGAAGAACACCCGUGGCGAAGGCGGCUCUCUGGGACGGUACUGGACGCUGAGACGCGAAAGCGUGGGGAGCGAACAGG